CAUGCAAGUCGAACGGGAAAUAUUCAUUGAGACUUCGGUGGAUUUGAUUUAUUUCUAGUGGCGGACGGGUGAGUAACGCGUGGGUAACCUGCCUUAUACAGGGGGAUAACAGUCAGAAAUGGCUGCUAAUACCGCAUAAGCGCACAGAGCUGCAUGGCUCAGUGUGAAAAACUCCGGUGGUAUAAGAUGGACCCGCGUUGGAUUAGCUUGUUGGUGGGGUAACGGCCCACCAAGGCGACGAUCCAUAGCCGGCCUGAGAGGGUGAACGGCCACAUUGGGACUGAGACACGGCCCAGACUCCUACGGGAGGCAGCAGUGGGGAAUAUUGCACAAUGGGGGAAACCCUGAUGCAGCGACGCCGCGUGAAGGAAGAAGUAUCUCGGUAUGUAAACUUCUAUCAGCAGGGAAGAUUGUGACGGUACCUGACUAAGAAGCCCCGGCUAACUACGUGCCAGCAGCCGCGGUAAUACGUAGGGGGCAAGCGUUAUCCGGAUUUACUGGGUGUAAAGGGAGCGUAGACGGUGUGGCAAGUCUGAUGUGAAAGGCAUGGGCUCAACCUGUGGACUGCAUUGGAAACUGUCAUACUUGAGUGCCGGAGGGGUAAGCGGAAUUCCUAGUGUAGCGGUGAAAUGCGUAGAUA
rnacentral:rRNA from 1 species